GGCCUCUUCUGGUUGCGACCCUUCUCCACAGCUGCCACCACAAGGGCUUCCUGCAUAGACGGGCCCCUCCAGACCUCUCAGUCCUCCUGCCGACGUCGUACUCCAGAGGUGCCCCCAGAACAACUGUCCUGCCCCAUUCCGGAUCACCGCCUCCUUGACGCACCGGGCACCAACUGUGCCGACCUUUCUUGCUCUGGGAGAUGUCCCGCCACCCUUCACUGCGUGACACACUUCUCUAACAUUCAGUGGCUCGGAGCAACAGUCAUCUUACCAUCUGAAGUCUUUAUUCCUUUGGAUAAGGAAAGGACGAUAAAGUAAAAAGGUGUGAAUGCAGGAAUUGUAGGGACAAACACAGAAUACGGGAAGAGGAAAACUGAAGCUAAGUGGAAUACAAGAAAGUUGGUGAUGGGCUUCGGUUGUAAAAUACAGCUAGAUCGUUCACGCCCUCUAAGAGUUAAUGUUCUUCACAUCUGUGUUUACAGUUUCCUGUUUUGCAAAUGAAGAAACUGAGGUGUGCAAGAGGCCAAUGUAACAUGAGCAUUCCAAGAAAUGGAAGAAGUGAGAUGUGCUGCAGAAUCCUGGAUGGACUUUCAGCGUGUGAUGGAUACAUGGAGAAGGGCAGCCAAGGAGCCGUUAAGUGAGGGCCAGAGACAGAGUCGGAACCUUGGCAGCCACCAAGCGGAAACAUCAGCAGGUUUUGAAAAGUUUAGUCAAAUCACAAUGAAAGGAUAACCUUGGUGAGAAGGCAUCACUCAUGACUGCCGAGGAACUGGGCUGGUCAGGUGGUGUACGUCUCAGUGGAGAGUGAGAAGGAGCAUAUCUGGGAGUUGUUUCCUGUGGCCUCUUAUUUGUUUGGUUGUCAUUCUGAUCAUUUCUCUGCUGAGGAUCAUCUUUCAUGGCUCCCCGGCCUCUAAGUCAGAAUGAGCCUCUUAGCGGGCGACUGUGAGCCCUCCACGACCUGCCGUCUCUGCUUGGCCUGCCGUCCCCUGUCUCACCUGCACCCUGUCGGUGCCCCUCCAUCUUCCAUAGCGCUGACCUUAGUCACUGUCCCCUGCGGCGCCCUGUCGCCGUCCGCCUCUGGACACUUCCUGCUCAUAGCACUUCCUUCACUUACCACGUCUUUGUCUGUGUCUUUUUGCCUAAACCCUCACCAUUUGAGACCUCUUUCACAAGAUCUUCCUUGAAUCUUCCCAGAGAAAUUAUCUUAUCUCUUUUAUUCAAUGAAAGGCCAGUUUCUGAUUAGAACACCUUUGGAGUGACCGCGCCGUAUUUCCUACUGACAGACUCUAAAGCUGUCAGCCUUUGCAAAUCAGCUGUCUUUUGCUUACUGCACAACUCGCCAUGUUCAUCUCUCCAUCCCCAAAGGCAUAAUAAGCAUGGCUGUCAGAUUUUUGCUUCAGUUGAUGUGGGAGAUUUUUGGGUUAGGAGAUGACAGUUCAAAUUGAAGGAACAAGAAGCCAUGGCCACUACUGUGGCUUUGAUUUGUCACGCUGUAAUGGCAGCAUGUGGCAAAAUGUUAAGGAUGCCCGGUGAUAGCAAUGUUCCCAAACCCUUGGAAGACAGAAUGGGACAUACGUAUGUAUGUGUAAUUUAAAAAAUUUAUCUUAACCUCUUUCUUGACAUUUUAUACAAUAGAAGUGGUUGUUUUAAAUGUAAAAUGAGCUGAGCAAUGCAGAUUGACAGAGUAUUAUUCUGUGCCUAUUUCUACCCCAUAAACUCUUAACCUUUUUGAGG